rnacentral:rRNA from 1 species
GUAGGGAAUAUUGGGCAAUGGAUGCAAGUCUGACCCAGCCAUCCCGCGUGCCGGAAGAAGGCCCUCAGGGUUGUAAACGGCUUUUGACGGUGAAGAAUCGACAGGAUGCGUCCUGUUUUGACGGUAGCCGUUGAAUAAGCACCGGCUAACUCCGUGCCAGCAGCCGCGGUAAUACGGCGGGUGCGAGCGUUGUCCGGAUUUAUUGGGUUUAAAGGGUGCGUAGGCUGGAAGGUCAGUCAGCGGUGAAAAGCUGUCGCUUAACGAUAGUCUUGCCGCAGAUACUUCCUUUCUUGGAUGAGGAGGAGGCCACUGGAACGGAUGGUGUAGCGGUGAAAUGCAUAGAUAUCAUCCAGAACACCGAUUGCGAAGGCAGGUGGCUGUACCUUAAUCGACGCUGAUGCACGAAAGCAUGGGGAGCAAACAGGAUUAGAAACCCCGGUAGUCC